AAAAACUCUUCAUACUAAUUUUCAUCAAAUCAUGGAAAGAGGCAGUGAAGCUAUUAGUCCAACAAAUCAACACCUCAACAAAUACAGACAUUCAGAAGAGAGAACCACCUGACCACAUCACUUCUGCCUCAGUUCUUAACCCCCAAUGAUGACCUCAUUCCACUUCCUUUUCUGCAAGCACGUCCUCCCUGUCAUCCCACUAAGAAAACAAUCAACACUCACUCUCAGUCAUUAUACCCCAAAACAAGAAUACUUCUGUUGCUGCUGCGUUAACAAGAAGCAUGCUUUUCAAUAAGGACAGUACUACUACUGACACCAGC